ACAGCAGUCGCCACGGUAAUACAGAGGGUGCAAGCGUUAAUCGGAAUUACUGGGCGUAAAGCGCGCGUAGGUGGUUUGUUAAGUUGGAUGUGAAAUCCCCGGGCUCAACCUGGGAACUGCAUCCAAAACUGGCAAGCUAGAGUAUGGCAGAGGGUGGUGGAAUUUCCUGUGUAGCGGUGAAAUGCGUAGAUAUAGGAAGGAACACCAGUGGCGAAGGCGACCACCUGGACUGAUACUGACACUGAGGUGCGAAAGCGUGGGGAGCAAACAGGAUUAGAUACCCGCGUAGUCCCUGUCUCUUAUAA
rnacentral:rRNA from 1 species